rnacentral:misc_RNA from 1 species
GAUGAAGAACGUAGCGAAAUGCGAUAAGUAGUGUGAAUUGCAGAAUUCAGUGAAUCAUCGAAUCUUUGAACGCACAUUGCGCCCCUUGGUAUUCCAUGGGGCAUGCCUGUUCGAGCGUCAUUUCAACCAUCAAGCCCCCGGCUUGUGUUGGGGACCUGCGGCUGCCGCAGGCCCUGAAAACCAGUGGCGGGCUCGCUAGUCACUCCGAGCGUAGUAAUACAUCUCGCUCAGGGCGUGCUGCGGGUUCCGGCCGUUAAAACACCUUAUUUACCCAAGGUUGACCUCGGAUCAGGUAGGAAGACCCGCUGAACUUAAGCAUAUCAAUAAGCGGAGGA